ensembl:misc_RNA Metazoa_SRP Metazoan signal recognition particle RNA
GCUGGGCGUGGUAGUGCACGCCUGUAAUCCCAGCUACUCGGGAGGCUGAGGCAGGAGAAUCACUUGAACCCAGGAGGCGGAGGUUGCAGUGAGCCAAGAUUGUACCACUGCACUCCAGCCUGGGCGACACAGCGAGACUCUGUCUCAA